ensembl:lncRNA
AUGACUCUAGAAGAGACCCUUGCAAAGCAGGGCGGGAUCACUAGUGUGAUCUCAGCUCACUGCAACCUCUGCCUCCUGGGUUCAAGAAGUUCUCAUCAUGUCUCAGCCUCCCCAAGGAGCUGGAAUUAUAGGGCUUCACUUUAUCACCCAGGCUGGAGUGCAGUGGUACGAUCACAGCUCACUGAAUUGUUGACCUCCUGGCCUCAAACCAUCCUUCCACCUUGGCAUCCCAAGUAGCUGGGACUACAUGCAUGCACCAGCAUGCCUGGCAAAUUAAAAAAAAAAAAAAAUCAGUAGGGGUAGAAUCUUGCUAUGCUACCCAGGCUGGUCUCAAACUCCUGGCUCAAGCAGUCCUCCUGCCUUGGCCUCCCAAAUUGCUGGGAUUACAGGUGUGAGCCACUGUGCCUGGCCUACUGCCUUUCAAUGUAAAGAAAAACUAAAAUAGAAUAAAAUAAAAAUCAGCCAUGGUAUAUAACCUGUACAUGAUCUGUGUUCCUAUAUUUUUAUUGUCUGACAUUCAGAAUAAACCACAACCAUCAAUUCUCCAGAUCCUCAGAUCAUAAUCACUGGAAUAUUUGAUUCUGUGGAAGAUGUGAGAAUUUCUCAGCUUAUCUGCUCCUAAACAGAUGUACUUGCUAAGGAGAUUUCAUAAGAAGCAGUUUAACUCUGGGCCUCUUAAGUUUACAUAAAAUGAAAGAAAGGCAUUAGAUCUCUGGGUUUGCUCCCUCCACUGAUACCUGAUUUUGACUUUUUAGCCAUAGAGAUUCUAUAGGCAGUGCCCCAUAGAAAUGAUUUUACUGUUCCGUUGUAUUGUUAGCAUCUGCAACUGCCCUAUACCAUAGGUUUGAGAUCUUGUGUGGUAUAAGUGGGCAGAGGGUAAAUGAAUUGAGUACCUGAAUCACCAGGAAAUUUUCCCAAAGUAUACAUCACUUUUUACACUCCUCCUCACCCCAAUCAGUCGUAGAACUCAUAGCCAAAUGGCCUAAAAUGACCUAUGGGUGUGUUCUAAAUAGAGCUCAGGGCUUAAACCAUUCCCAUGUCGACAUUACACAUCUUAUCGAAAAUUGUGUUUAUAGGGAGCAGGAAGGAAGUCCAGGAAUGGAAAAGAUUAGCUGGGAAUUUUUUAGUAUAGAUUUUUAUCAUCAAAUGGAGUUUUAUUGACCAUUUACACAAGAACCAUUAACAGCCAGUCAGGAAACUUCUGAAUCAACUUGAGCCACUUUACUUAGCAAUUAACUCAAGUUCCCUUAUGAAUGCAAAACAAGUAAGUUUCACAUAAAUAUGCUGGUAAUACAUUGCGUAAGGGUAUCUGUUUGCCAUGUUAUAAACCACUGUCGAAGCCAAGAAACCAAAUAAACUUGAUUAAUCCUUGAGCAUAAUCAUGCAGACAUGUAAGAUGGAAAACUAUGAUUCACAGAUAAAUGGUUAGCUGGUGCUUGUUGCUGCAGGAUCUUUUCUUUUUUUAACUUUUAAGUUCAGGGGUACAUGUGCAGGUUGGUUUCUACAGGUAAACCUGUGUCAUGGGAGUUUGUUGUACAGAUUAUUUCAUCAUCCACAUAUUAAGCCUAGUACCCAUUAGUUAUUUUUCCUGAUCCUGUCCUUCCUCCCACCCCCCAACUCUGACAGGCCCCAGUGUAUGUUGUUCCCCGCUAUGUGUCCAUGUAUUGUCAUCAUUUAGUUCCUGCUUAUAAGUGAGAACAUGCAGUAUUUGGUUUUCUGUUCCUGCAGUAGUUUUCUAAGGAUAAUGGUUUCCCUGCUCCAUCCAUGUCCCUGCAAAGGACAUGAUCUCACUCUUUCUUUAUGGCUGCAUAGUAUUCUAUGGUACAUAUAUACCACAUUUUCUUUAUCCAUUCUAUCACUGAUGGGCAUUUAGGUUCAUUCCAUGUCUUUGCUUUUAUGAAUAGUGU